rnacentral:lncRNA from 1 species
AUUCAGUUGAGGCUUGCCACAGCGCAGUUUCAGUUGAAUGAUUCUUGUUCUCGCGAAACCAAGCUUUCUUGUGAGCUGAAAGAGUUACUGCAGUCGAAGGAGAAAAUCCAGAGCGAAAAUCAGAGGUUGAGAUUUACAUUAGAGGAGUUAAUUCUUGUUGUGGAGCAGAAGGGCCAAGAGACAUUCCGGCAAGAAAACGUCUUGGAACUGAAGUUACACAGUUUUGAAAACAAGGUGGAAGAUAUACACCGCCGGAUGAAAGAAAUACUUUUGUAUUUAGAUGCACUUUACCUUGUGAAAGAAAAGCUGGAAGCUAGGAUUGAAUGCAUCGAGCACAGGAUCUUGCAGUGCUGCUCAAGUCUUGAGAAAAAUCUUGCAAAAGCUCAGGAGGAUAGGGAUCCGAUUGAGGUCGUGGAAGCUGAACGCGAGAGUAUGUUAGCGGAGAAAUUGAGUACUGUGGCAUUAUGUUUACGCAUCCAAGCGCUGAAGGAUGAUUUGGAUGCAUUAGUGACCUUAAUCAAGCAAAAGGAAGAAGAGAUAUCCAUGUUCCGUCAAAAAUGGACUGAAUCGGAAAGUACGGCUGUUCCACUUCAAGAGAAACUAUGUACUUCGAUCUCGUUAACAAAAGAGCUUACCCGAUCAGUAGAGGAAUCGAAAUUUCAGAAGGAAGCUCUUGCUGAUGAGAAUAACAGUCUGACUAGCUACAUGGUUUGUCAGGAGAUGAAAUUUUUAUCCCUGCAGGAACAGAAGGAUAUUAUGAAGAAAAAACUGCAAAAGGAACUGUUGGAAGACCAUCUUAUAACUAAACUAGAGCUAGUUGAUUGUCAAGAACCAAAGCAAGGCUUUCACUGUAUCUUGAAAAUUUUGAAGAAGCAGGUGAUGGAAAUUGAAAAGAAGUUUGAAAUGACAAUAAAGGAUCUAGAGAUCCAAUGGAAUAUGAAGACAGGAGAACUGUUAAACCAUCUCUUCAGAACUUUUCUGGAUCGGACGGAAAUGAAAAUUUUCUCACAAAAAAUACAGUGGGAUUUAGUAGCGGCAGAGUCUUCACUGUCUGCUUCAGACACAGCUACCGGGCAGCUACUACAGAAAAUUAUACUUUUAAAAGCCGUCAAUAACCAACUACUAAAGAACCAGGAGGCAAUUCGGUUCGAGCUUUCUGAUAUGGAACAAUAUGCAUUUGAACUUCACAGAGCCAGAAGCUUUACUUCAGAGACUGAGCUAUUGCAUCAUUACCUUGACGUACUUAAGAGGGAGGUUGAAAGAAUACUAUGCGAGUGCGAAAUACUACAGACACAGAUAAAUGAUGAGGACAGCACUAUUUUAUCAUUGCAAAUAGAAAUGAAUGCAAACAUUGCAGUCUGCAGGCAGAUGGAAGUCGAGUUGGAAUGCUCAGAUCCUGGUAGGAGUGCUCUAAAGCUCGAGCUAAUUAACUUUAACAGAGCACAAGAAAACUCUCAAGAUGAGGUUCGAUGCCGAAAGUCGCCAAAGGAGCAUUAUGAAACUGGGUUUUACAACGUUAUGGAGUUACUCACAAAAUCCGAAGAGAAACUUGACGAAUCAGAACGUGAACGGCUGAAGCGAAUAGUAGAGACAGAUUCGGAGAUGGAAGCAGCAAAACUUUGCG